rnacentral:rRNA from 1 species
GAAUAUUGGACAAUGGGGGCAACCCUGAUCCAGCCAUGCCGCGUGUGUGAAGAAGGCCUGUUGGGUGUAAAGCACUUUAAGCAGUGAAGAAGACUCCAUGGUUAAUAGCCAUGGACGAUGACAGUAGCGGCAGAAUAAGCACCGGCUAACGCUGUGCACGCAGCCGCGGUACUACAGAGGGUGCAAGCGUUACUCGGAAUUACUGGGCGUAACGCGAGCGUAGGUGGCUUGAUAAGUCAGAUGUGAAAUCCCCGGGCUUAACCUGGGAACUGCAUCUGAUACUGUUAGGCUAGAAUAGGUGAGAGGAAGGUAGAAUUCCAGGUGUAGCGGUGAAAUGCGUAGAGAUCUGGAGGAAUACCGAUGGCGAAGGCAGCCUUCUGGCAUCAUAUUGACACUGAGGUUCGAAAGCGUGGGUAGCAAAC